rnacentral:rRNA from 1 species
UGCCAGCGGUCCGGCCGGGAACUCAAAGGAGACUGCCAGUGAUAAACUGGAGGAAGGUGGGGAUGACGUCAAGUCAUCAUGGCCCUUACGACCAGGGCUACACACGUGCUACAAUGGCGCAUACAAAGAGAAGCGACCUCGCGAGAGCAAGCGGACCUCAUAAAGUGCGUCGUAGUCCGGAUUGGAGUCUGCAACUCGACUCCAUGAAGUCGGAAUCGCUAGUAAUCGUGGAUCAGAAUGCCACGGUGAAUACGUUCCCGGGCCUUGUACACACCGCCCGUCACACCAUGGGAGUGGGUUGCAAAAGAAGUAGGUAGCUUAACCUUCGGGAGGGCGCUUACCACUUUGUGAUUCAUGACUGGGGUGAAGUCGUAACAAGGUAACCGUAGGGGAACCUGCGGUUGGAUC